CUACAGUGGAAACAGUCAACAAAGCU
rnacentral:piRNA from 1 species